UGGCUCAGACAGUAAAGCAUCUGCCUGCAAUACAGGAGACCCAGGUUCGAUUCCUGG
rnacentral:tRNA from 1 species